CGCACAAGGCGGGGUCAUGCCGCCGCUUCCCGGGCCUUCUGGGUAGUGUAGUUUCGGGGGCGGGGGCGGCCCGGGGCCUUGACUCCACUUGGUGGAAACCCCCAGGCGCGGACACAAGGCGCGGCUCGCCGCGUAGGCGCCGCCCGCGGGGCCGGAAUCUCUGAGGAUGUCUGCGGUGCUCCAGAAGCUCAAGAGGUUCAAGCUGCGGGCCCUGCACAACCAGAAGAAAUUUGGGGUGGCGGGCAGGAACUGCGAGGAAGUGCUGCGGAAGGGGUGCCUCCACUUGCAGCUCCCCGUUCCUGGCUCCACCCUGUGUCUCUACGAGGAUGGCACGGAGGUGACUGGAGAUUACUUCUGGAGUGUCCCCGAUGACUCGGAGCUCGUGCUUCUCACUGCGGGGCAGACCUGGCAGGGUUAUGCGAGUGACAUCAACCGCUUCCUGAGCGUGUUCCAGGAGCCGCACGCAGAGCUCAUCCAGGCCGCCCGGCAGCUGCUGUCGGGCGAGCGGGCCCCGCUGCGUCAGAAGCUCCUGGCCGACCUGCUGGGCACCGUCAGCGAGAACAUCGCGGCCGAGACCAGGGCUGAGGACGCGCCGUGGUUCGAAGGUUUGGAGUCCCGGUUUAGGAACAAGUCUGGCUACCUGAGAUACAGCUGUGAGAGCCGGAUCCGGAGCUACCUGAGAGAGGUGACGUCUGGCGCGUCCCUGGUUGUGACGGAGGCUCGGGAAGAGUACCUGCGGGUCGUGGGUGCCAUGUGUCAGAAGCUCCAGGCCGCCCGCUACAACAGCAGCUACUUUGACAGGGGGGCGAAGGCCGGCCGCCGGCUCUGCACGCCCGAAGGCUGGUUCUCCUGCCAGGGUCCCUUUGACGUGGACGACUGUGCUUCCAGACACUCCAUCAACCCCUACAGUAACAGGGAGAGCCGCGUCCUCUUUAGCACCUGGAACCUGGACCAUGUGUGAGUGCGUGGGGCUGAAGGCCACAUCCACAGACCCGGAGUGCACCUGCGACCUGGCGCUGCCCAACCUCCGCGGCUGGCGGGCUGCCUGGUGCGCCACGCGCCCAGUGCACGUGUCACGGACCCACAGACGUCGUGGGCGUGUGGCGUGGAAGGGGUUGCCGGGAUCGUGUGGUGCUGACACUCCUGGGCUGCGUGGCGGGUGUCACUCAGCGCGGUGGGCUCAGAUCCCCGUCCGCACCUGUGCAACCCCGCGCGUCCCCUCCCACCGCCAGCGCCCACCUGUGGGCGGAGGCAGUGGUCGGCAGCUGCGGCCCGGUCAGUGUGGCACGGGCGCAGCUGUGUGUGGUCCCUGCCUCGCCCAGGGAGUGGGAGCUCUGCGUUGUGACGUGUAGGGCGUUUCCUGCUUCAACCAGGGUUAGCAAGUCUUGGCUGGCAGGAUCAUUUUAUGUGUGUAUCAGCUCAUUCUAAAAACAAGGGCAGAAAAGGAAAAUUUUAUUAUUUUAACUGAGAUGCUUUUCUUGUUGAUCCCUGAACAACGUGGGGUUUGAACUGCAUGGCUCCACUUAUACGUGGAGUUUUCAGUAGGAAAUACUAGAGUACUGCUCCAUCCACGUCGGUUGACUCUGCGGAUACCGAGCCGCGGAUACAAAGGAACCCUGCACGCAGAGGGCCUCCUGUAAAGUUACACGUGGAUUUUUGCCUGCGUCGGGUGCUGGCUCCUAACGUCCCCUGCCUCCCGUCCUGCGUGUUGCCGGGUUGCUCUCCAGGGUGGUCCCACCGACACCCUCACCGGCUGUGGGUUCACGCGCCCCAGGCUUCACCACCUCUUGGUAUCAGUCCUCUUUUUGCGCUCUCCCAGUCUGAUGGGCGAGAAAGAGAUUCUCCUGUUGCAGUUCAUUUGCCUGAUUACUAGGAAGGUUGAAUGUCCGUGUGUUUAUUGGCCACUUGUGUUCUGUGAACUGGCUUUUGCUUCCUCUGCUCAGUUUUUACUGGGCUUUGGUUUUCUAAUUAAUUUGUAAGAAUUCUUUACACGUCCUGGUUACUGAUUCUUUGGUGGCUCUUCGUGUUACAGGUAUGUUUUUACAGUUUGGGCUUGUCUUUCGCUUCUGGGAUGUCUUUGAUCGUCACGGGUUUAAAUUCCAGUGUACUGAGAUGUAGCUCUUCUUUUUUGUGUGAAAUCCUUCCCUUCCUGUAUCAUGAAGAUAUCCUAGUUUUUCUCUACUGGUUGGCUGCGCUGUUUCUGACCUGCCUGGAGCACCCCAAGAUGAUCUCGGGGCUCCAGGCCAUCUGUCUGCUCCUGUCUUUUCACGGCCCACUAGGGGCCACACCGCCAGCAUCUGAGGAGGGAAACAGGCCGGCCUAGAAGAGAACACGGAUGAAGCAGCAGCGUGCACGCCAGACCCUGAGUCAUGUCUCCUGACACGUGCCAGUUACACUGCCGCUCUUCUUCUAAAUACACAUACGUCCACAUAGAUACACGUACUGGCUUUUAAUUUGAAAUGCAGUUUUGACAGCAGGCAGCGGGGGUUUGAAAACACUGGUCUGAUUGUUUCCCUGAGACGUGGACACAGGCCCACCCCGACUCUGAUGGGGCUGAAGCCACAAGCCACGUGUUUAAAUAGUUAAACACUAAAGAGUAACAAACUGUCAGUACAGCACGUGCUGUCCUCCCCCUUGGACUGUGUCACCGCGGCCCAGUCCAGGUUCCUGGGACUUCUCAGGGCUCCGGGACGUGGCCGCAGUGGCCUGCAGUCCGCAGCCUGCCCUCUUCUCUCACCCCUCGGGCCCCCUCACACCACAAGGGCUGCACCACGCAUGUGCAGGCUUAGGGGUGCACGUACGGGGGUGCAGCCUGUCCUGGGAGGAUGUUCCGCGCCUGAGUUCCGGGCGUGUGGGCUGGGCGGCGGGGCAGGGAUCCUGUUCCCCGAGGGCUAAGGGCGCCUCCUCCAAUACCCGGUGUUGCGAGAAGUCUUCCUGUCUGGGAUCAGCGCUUCCCUCCCUCUUUUCAAAACCAUCCUCGGCCUUUUCCUUAACUUCAUUCAUUUGCCUUUUAUUUUGUAUCCCUUCUUUCUACUUUUUUGGGUUUCUUCUUGCUUAUUAGUUAAUUUGCAUCUCUCCUGUUUUCUGACAUAUACAUUUCAGGCUAUCAGUUUCAGCUUUAGCUACCACCUGUGAGUUCGGUAAUUUUAUUGUUAUUCAGGUGUAAGGAUUCUGUCAUUUCCAUCGUGAUUUUAUCGCUGCUCCGUGAACUGGUUAGAAGUGGGCAUUUGUUUUCAGUUGCUGCCGGAUUCCUAGUUGCCUCUCUUGGUACCCGCUCGCUGCUGUGGUCACUCACGCCUCCUCUGAGCCUCAGUGGCGGGGGCGUGAGUGCGAGUGGCCUCAGAUCUGCGUGGCUGGAUUUAAGCUGCUCUGCUGUCUUUCCGCCCCUUUCUUGUCGACUCUGACAUGUCUCCGGGUUUGGGUGAGUGUCCCACUUGCUCUUAUUCCCAUGGGGUCCGAGAUGGCCCCAUCAGAGCUGACGGCUGCCGUCCUCUGCCUGUGUGGUGACGGCCGUGCUCCCUGUCAGCAUCGGGCUCUGCCAGGUCAGUGGUGUUGGCACGUCCCCAGCAUCUUUCUGCAGCCGGGACAGCGUCUGGCCACUGUGGCCAGUGUUGGUGGAGUAAAUAGGAAAUGUGUUUGGACUUCUUUAGCCCUCUAUUCUGGGUUCCCAGUCACCAUUCCAGUCCUUCCCUUUUGGGUCUCCUUUGUGCUUUCUGUGUGUUUAACCGAGUUUUCCUUUUCCCUUGCCCAUCACCCCACCCUUCGGUGGUUUGGGAAAUAGAUGUCUGCUUGUGUUCCCUUAGUGGGGCCCCUGAGUGGAGCACAUCGGAAGCAGAAUUGCGUCCCCCUUGCCCCCAGGCCCCGUGGAGUCACCUUGGUGUCACCCCCUCUGCUCGCCGUGAGCCCUGCACAAAGCGUGGGCGUGUUCCCGGGGUCGGUCCUCGAUUACGCUCACCCACAGAUCACAUGGCACUCAGGCUCACUCCGUCGAUGAUGAGGGUCGGGGGGUCGUAGAAAGGCCCUGAGCGCUUGUUGAGCUGACGUGGCUGCAGGCCGGCGGCCACUCGGCCCGCAGUGCUUUGGAGACAUGACGUCUCAUCUUCUGGCGUCUGUUCACAAGGCUGCCGACAGUCUCCUCUGCUUUUCUGUGGCAGCUUUAGACUUUCCCUUUCUCUUUGAAAAUGAUGUGUAUCUAGUACAGACCUCCAUUUUAAAUUCUGACCGGGACUUGUAUUCUCUGCUCUGAAGAUGUGUCUGUCUUUAAUUUUGGGAAGCUCUUCAGCGUUGAUUCUCUGACUCCCCCUCACGUACCUGGACCAGCUCCUCCGUCCUCCUUGUGCUGCAUCUGCUCUUACACAUUCCCUUUCCCGCGGACUUCCUGCCACGGACUGAACUGUGUCCCCCAAAUUCAUGUGCUGAAGCCCUAACCCCAGGGUGACUGUGUCUGGGGAUAGGCUCUUCAGGAGGUGAUUAAGCGUAAAUGAGGUUGGAAGGGAGGAUCUGAUAGGACUGAUCUGAUAGGACUGUGGUCCCAUAAGAAGUGAGGGCUUGCUCUCCACCAUGUGAGGACGCAGCGAGGGGGCAGCCGUCUGCGAGCCAGGAAGACACUUCUCACCAGAACCCAACCACGCUGGCCCUCUGAUCUCAGAAUCCCAGCCUCCAGAAUGGAUAGAAAAGAAGCGCACGGUCGUCCCCACGCUGGCCGCGGCCAUCCACGACGCCGAGGGGAGAGAAGUGGACUGGAAGUACUUCUACCGCCUGCUCUUCACCUCUGAGAACC